UGGAUAUUAAGUUAAGUUAAAACUGUAUGUUUCAUGUGUAUAUAAUGCUGCUUUGUGCAUAUCCUUUAACU
rnacentral:tRNA from 1 species